CUUUGACGUUUACAUUUGAAAUGAGGUUAUUUUAUUUACAUUUUGCUGAUACUUAAGAUUCAAGACGUGAAAUAAUUUACAGUGACUGUAUAUCAUUAAAAGUGAAGAAGAUUUAAGAAAUAAGCAUACAAAGUCAAUCUAACCAUGACAUCAACAGUUAGCAGUCGUCCCCGGGAUUGUUUGGGAUGUAGGAUAGUCGGAGCUGCCGGUCUCGUUGGAAUUGGAGCUUACCUCGCAAAUGUAGCCUGGAAGAAUAAAUCAUUUUUUGGGACAUUAACAUUCUCUACGAUAUCACUAGCAUUUGUAACACUCGGUGUGCAAAGAUAUAAACAAGAAUUUCCAUUUGACAAGAAAACAGAAGAUAAUCAGAAAUCUUAGAUAUUUACUUAUGUAAUAUCCAACCCAACCCAAUAACCAUGAGAUUUAAAAAGAUAAUUUAUAUGAUUGAAUGUUUAAAAGAAAGUACCGCUAUUAUCACACAGUGAAUUAGGUUUUACCGUUUUCUGUGUAUAUUAGUGUUAAGAAUAUAUUAGUUCAGAAUUAAUGUUUUAUAGCAUGUUAAUACUUUGUUAAAUUAAUAGUCUGUAUUUUAUUUUAUGUAAUUGUGAUAUAGCGCCAUCUGUUGAAUAAAUGUCUAACUCCAGUCAUAAAGUGUGUCACUCUAUUGUAUGCAGCAAUGUAGAUGGCGCUUUGUUUAAAUCUAGUAUUUUGUUAAACGAAAAUAUUUUCUGUUUCUUUUUGACCGACUUCUUGUUACUUAACACAAUGGAGUGAAUAUUUCUAAAUAUUGUAAAUAAAAGUUAUUGUAAAUAUAA